rnacentral:rRNA from 1 species
ACUCCUGCGGGAGGCAGCAGUGGGGAAUAUUGCACAAUGGGCGCAAGCCUGAUGCAGCCAUGCCGCGUGUAUGAAGAAGGCCUUCGGGUUGUAAAGUACUUUCAGCGGGGAGGAAGGCAAUACGGUUAAUAACCGUGUUGAUUGACGUUACCCGCAGAAGAAGCACCGGCUAACUCCGUGCCAGCAGCCGCGGUAAUACGGAGGGUGCAAGCGUUAAUCGGAAUUACUGGGCGUAAAGCGCACGCAGGCGGUCUGUCAAGUCGGAUGUGAAAUCCCCGGGCUCAACCUGGGAACUGCAUUCGAAACUGGCAGGCUUGAGUCUUGUAGAGGGGGGUAGAAUUCCAGGUGUAGCGGUGAAAUGCGUAGAGAUCUGGAGGAAUACCGGUGGCGAAGGCGGCCCCCUGGACAAAGACUGACGCUCAGGUGCGAAAGCGUGGGGAGCAAACAGGAUUAGAUACCCCGGUAGUCCCA